GAAACUGUGCCUGAAAAAAGGGCCGCUUUGAUAGAGCGACUAAUGAGGGUUAAAGUCCCCCCAGUUUCU
rnacentral:tRNA from 1 species